GAUCCUGGACUUCCAACAUCACGCAGCUUCCUCGCCCAGAUAGGCUUCCUUGACCUUCGGACUGUUACGGAUUUCCUCAGGCGUUCCGGAUGCGAUGAUAUGGCCGUAGACCAGCACCGAGAUGCGGUCGGCGAGGCCGAACACCACGCUCAUGUCGUGCUCGACGAUCAGCAGGGUCUUGCCGACGGUGAGGCGGCGGAUCAGAUCCACCGCACGCUCGGUCUCGGCAUGGCUCAUGCCCGCGGUCGGC
rnacentral:misc_RNA from 1 species